GGCCUUUUUAUGUAGGUAUUGUGUUGGAUUCGGGAGAUGGUGUUAGCCACACAGUCCCUAUUUACGAGGGUUAUGCCCUCCCGCAUGCUAUUCUUCGUCUUGAUUUGGCUGGUCGUGAUCUUACCGAUAACUUGAUGAAGAUUCUGACCGAACGUGGGUAUUCAUUCACCACCACAGCUGAGCGGGAAAUUGUAAGGGACGUGAAGGAAAAGCUGUCAUACAUUGCUCUCGACUACGAACAAGAGCUAGAGACCUCCAAAACAGACUCAUCGAUGGAGAAAACCUACGAAUUACCCGACGGUCAGAUGAUUACCAUUGGUGCCGAACGUUUUAGAUGCCCUGAAGUGCUUUUCCAACCAUCUUUGAUCGGUAUGGAAGCUGCAGGCAUUCACGAGACAACAUACAACUCCAUAAUGAAGUGCGACGUGG
rnacentral:lncRNA from 1 species